AGUCGAACGGAAGCCUUUGGGCUUUAGUGGCGAACGGGUGAGUAACGCGUAAGCAAUCUGCCCUUAAGACGAGGAUAACAGUUGGAAACGACUGCUAAGACUGGAUAGGAGAUAGGAAGGCAUCUUCUUGUUUUUAAAAGACCUAGCAAUAGGUAUGCUUAGGGAAGAGCUUGCGUCACAUUAGUUAGUUGGUGGGGUAAAAGCCUACCAAGACGAUGAUGUGUAGCCGGGCUGAGAGGUCGAACGGCCACAUUGGGACUGAGACACGGCCCAAACUCCUACGGGAGGCAGCAGUAAGGAAUUUUCGGCAAUGGAGGAAACUCUGACCGAGCAAUGCCGCGUGAACGAUGAAGUAUUUCGGUACGUAAAGUUCUUUUAUUAGGGAAGAAAAAAUGGUGGAAAAAUCAUUAUGACGGUACCUAAUGAAUAAGCCCCGGCUAACUAUGUGCCAGCAGCCGCGGUAAUACAUAGGGGGCAAGCGUUAUCCGGAAUUAUUGGGCGUAAAGGGUGCGUAGGCGGUUAAAUAAGUUUAUGGUCUAAGUGCAAUGCUUAACAUUGUGAUGCUAUAAAAACUGUUUAGCUAGAGUUGGAUAGAGGCAAGUGGAAUUCCAUGUGUAGUGGUAAAAUGCGUAAAUAUAUGGAGGAACACCAGGAGCGAAGGCGGCUUGCUGGGUCUUAACUGACGCUGAGGCACGAAAGCGUGGGGAGCAAACAGGAUUAGAUACCCUGGUAGUCCACGCCCUAAACGAUGAGUACUAAACGUUGGUUAAAACCAGUGUUGAAGUUAACACAUUAAGUACUCCGCCUGAGUAGUACGUACGCAAGUAUGAAACUUAAAGGAAUUGACGGGACUCCGCA
rnacentral:rRNA from 1 species